GGUGAACGCUGGCGGCGUGCCUAACACAUGCAAGUCGAGCGGGUACCCGCAAGGGUACCAGCGGCGCACGGGUGAGUAACACGUGGGUAAUCUACCCCUCGGAGGGGGAUAACCGGGGGAAACCCCGGCUAAUACCCCAUACGAUCCGGCAACGAAGGUUGCUGGAUGAAAGGGGCGUUUGCUCCGCCGAGGGAUGAGCCCGCGGCCCAUCAGGUAGUUGGUGGGGUAAUGGCCCACCAAGCCUACGACGGGUAGCCGGCCUGAGAGGGUGGUCGGCCACAAGGGCACUGAGACACGGGCCCUACUCCUACGGGAGGCAGCAGUGGGGAAUCUUGGACAAUGGGCGAAAGCCUGAUCCAGCGACGCCGCGUGGGGGAUGAAGCCCUUCGGGGUGUAAACCCCUGUUGCGAGGGAGGAAUAAGGCCUGGAGGAAAUGCCAGGCCGAUGACUGUACCUCGCGAGGAAGCCCCGGCUAACUACGUGCCAGCAGCCGCGGUAAUACGUAGGGGGCGAGCGUUACCCGGAUUCACUGGGCGUAAAGCGGGUGUAGGCGGCUCGGUAAGUCGGGUGUGAAAUCCCACAGCUCAACUGUGGAAUUGCGCCCGAAACUGCUGAGCUUGGGGCCGGUAGAGGGAGACGGAACUGCCGGUGUAGGGGUGAAAUCCGUAGAUAUCGGCAGGAACGCCGGUGGGGAAGCCGGUCUCCUGGGCCGCGCCCGACGCUGAGACCCGAAAGCUAGGGGAGCAAACC
rnacentral:rRNA from 1 species